CAGGAUGAACGCUAGCGACAGGCUAACACAUGCAAGUCGAGGGGCAGCACGGGAGUAGCAAUACAACGUGGUGGCGACCGGCGCACGGGUGAGUAACGCGUAUGCAACCUACCUAUCAGAGGGGAAUAACCCGGCGAAAGUCGGACUAAUACCGCAUAAAACAGGGGCACCGCAUGGUGAUAUUUGUUAAAGAAAUUCGCUGAUAGAUGGGCAUGCGUUCCAUUAGGUAGUUGGUGAGGUAACGGCUCACCAAGCCGACGAUGGAUAGGGGAACUGAGAGGUUGGUCCCCCACACUGGUACUGAGACACGGACCAGACUCCUACGGGAGGCAGCAGUGAGGAAUAUUGGUCAAUGGGCGGGAGCCUGAACCAGCCAAGUCGCGUGAAGGAAGAAGGAUCUAUGGUUCGUAAACUUCUUUGCAGGGGAAUAAAGUGCAGGACGUGUCCUGUUUUGUAUGUACCCUGAGAAUAAGGAUCGGCUAACUCCGUGCCAGCCGCCGC
rnacentral:rRNA from 1 species